rnacentral:rRNA from 1 species
UACGUAGGGCGCAAGCGUUGUCCGGAAUCAUUGGGCGUAGAGAGCUCGUAGGCGGCCUGUCGCGUCCGCUGUGAAAUCCCGGGGCUUAACCCCGGGCGUGCAGUGGAUACGGGCUGGCUGGAGGCAGGCAGGGGAGAACGGAAUUCCUGGUGUAGCGGUGAAAUGCGCAGAUAUCAGGAGGAACACCGGUGGCGAAGGCGGUUCUCUGGGCCUGUACUGACGCUGAGGAGCGAAAGCGUGGGGAGCGAACAGG